GUAGGUGGUUAUAUAAGUGAAUAGUGAAAGCUGGCGGCUCAACCGUACGGACUAUUAUUCAAACUGUAUAACUCGAGAAUGGUAGAGGUUACUGGAAUUUCUUGUGUAGGAGUGAAAUCCGUAGAUAUAAGAAGGGAACACCAAUGGCGUAGGCAGGUAACUGGACCAUUUCUGACUCUAAGGCACGAAAGCGUGGGGAGCGAACCGGAUUAGAUACCCGGGUAGUCCACGCCGUAAACGAUGGAUACUAGCUGUUAGGAGUAUCGACCCUUCUAGUAGCGAAGCUAACGCGUUAAGUAUCCCGCCUGUGGAGUACGGUCGCAAGACUAAAACAUAAAGGAAUUGACGGGGACCCGCACAAGCGGUGGAUCGUGUUCUUUAAUUCGAUGCUAAACGAAAAACCUUACCAGGGUUUGACAUCCCGAGAAUUUCUCCGAAAGGAGAGAGUGCUUUAUUGAGCUCGGUGACAGAUGAUGCAUGGCCGUCGUCAGCUCGUGUCGUGAGAUGUUUGGUUAAGUCCAUUAACGAGCGCAACCCUUAUAGUCUGUUGUAUUUUUCAGGCUAGACUGCCCCGUUAACGGGGAGGAAGGAGGGGAUGAGGUCAGGUCAGUAUUUCUCUUACAUCCUGGGCUAGAAACACGAUACAAUGGCUAGUACAAUGCGCAGCGAAGCCGCGAGGUGGAGCAAAUCGCAUCAAAGCUAGUCCCAGUUCGGAUUGGAGGCUGAAACUCGCCUCCAUGAAGUCGGAAUCGCUAGUAAUCGCAAAUCAGCAAGUUGCGGUGAAUACGUUCCCGGGUCUUGUACACACCGCCCGUCAAACCAUGAAAGUGACCAACACCCGAAGUCCGAUUCGUCGGCCUAAGGUGGGGGGCAUGAUUGGGGUU
rnacentral:rRNA from 1 species